rnacentral:lncRNA from 1 species
GGGCGCAGAAUAUUAAGAUUUAGCAGCUUUGUAGAAUCGUUAGUUCAUGCGAUAUUUUAAGGCCUAUUAAGAUUAGAUUAUCUUGUAGGUCCACUUGAUAGAAGGCUUUAGCAUUGGCUUUACAAGGCAAGAGAAUUUGUGCAUCUUUUAAUCUACAGGCUUGUCCUAUCGAGGUGGGUUUUUAUUUUCCAAUGUAUGUUUUGAGUUAUUGAGCUCUAAAUUGUUUUAAUGCUAUUGUAAAUGAAUGUCCAUGUUAAAAUGUUUUUAUCUCUCUAUUGUUUAAAGUGCUCCUAUGUUCUCUAACGAUCGGGUCCUAGCCGGCGUAGCGAUUAGAUCGCCUUGGACAGGAUGUGUACACACAAAGGGGUAUUGUGGGCUGCUCCCACUUGCCUCAGACUGUCAGACUUGGGCUGCUCCCAUUUCUGAAACAUGCAUGGUAGUGCACCUCUAUAGGCUGCUCCCACAUGUUCACAUUAUAGGUGAAGCACCAAUAGAGAGAAGACUGGAAAUGGAUCCACAAAUUUAUUUUAAGUAUGCAUGGAAUGCUUUCAAAUAUUUCUAUGUUAUACUGUUCAUAGCAUGGAUUAUUCUUUUAAAUGGAUUUUCAAAUGUUUUCAAAUGGCUAAACCCACUGAGUAUAUUAGUACUCAGCCCUGCAAUUGUUUUCAAAACCUUUUGCAGGUUGAGCGGCAGGUGGUGUCGUGCGAGGCUGAGGGAGGAUGUUGCUGUAGUUUCAUAUAAUAAUUUCCGCUGCCAUAAUAUUCACUUAGGUGGAUAUCUUUUGAGAAUGACUCUUUAAAUAGUCUUAGCCUAAUUAUUAUGAACUCUUUUGGCAAUCGCAUUUCUAGCAAUUGAACCUCGCAUAUAUGAAUGUCUAGUAUGAAGUGUUAUCUUGUUGUCUCAGACCUCCGAACUUUUGAUCCUGGUUGGGAAGAUUUCUAUCCUAAUUGUUGUAUUUAUUAUCCUUCAAUUGCGGCACUCCUUUAUUAACAAUGUAUUACCCGAAUCUAAGAACAUAUCACCCAUUUUAUUCUAACAAAGUCUAGCAAAUCC